rnacentral:misc_RNA from 1 species
GGCUUGCCGUGAUGUCGCCGCCCAUGGCGCGGGCAAGCUGCUUGACCGACGACAAUCCGAGGCCCGCACCACCGAAGCGGGAGGCGAUGCUGACAUUCGCCNNNNCCGGCUUAACCAGCCGCUUGAUCUCCGCGAGCGAAAGACCGAUGCCGCUGUCGGACACAGAGAAGGUCACAUCCAGUCUGUCGCCCUGACCGGCGCGGGCCGCGACAUCGAGGGCCACCGUGCCCUGCUG